UACGGAAGGCAGCAGUGGGGAAUAUUGCACAAUGGGCGCAAGCCUGAUGCAGCCAUGCCGCGUGUAUGAAAAAGGCCUUCGGGUUGUAAAGUACUUUCAGUCGUGAGGAAGGUGUUAAGGUUAAUAACCUUAGCAAUUGACGUUAGCGACAGAAGAAGCACCGGCUAACUCCGUGCCAGCAGCCGCGGUAAUACGGAGGGUGCGAGCGUUAAUCGGAAUUACUGGGCGUAAAGGGCACGCAGGCGGUUAAUUAAGUUGGAUGUGAAUCCCCGGGCUUAACCUGGGAAUGGCAUUCAAGACUGGUUAGCUAGAGUCUUGUAGAGGGGGUAGAAUUCCAUGUGUAGCGGUGAAAUGCGUAGAGAUGUGGAGGAAUACCGGUGGCGAAGGCGGCCCCUGGACAAAGACUGACGCUCAUGUGCGAAAGCGUGGGGAGCAAACGAGGAUUAGAUA
rnacentral:rRNA from 1 species